rnacentral:rRNA from 1 species
GCAUAUCAAUAAGCGGAGGGAAAAGAAACUAACAAGGAUUCCCCUAGUAACGGCGAGUGAAGCGGGAAGAGCUCAAAUUUGUAAUCUGGCACUUUCAGUGUCCGAGUUGUAAUCUCGAGAAGUGUUUUCCGCGCCGGACUGCAUACAAGUCUGUUGGAAUACAGCGUCAUAGUGGUGAGAACCCCGUAACUGAUGCAGAUGCCCGGUGCUUUGUGAUACACUUUCGAAGAGUCGAGUUGUUUGGGAAUGCAGCUCAAAUUGGGUGGUAAAUUCCAUCUAAAGCUAAAUAUUGGCGAGAGACCGAUAGCGAACAAGUACCGUGAGGGAAAGAUGAAAAGCACUUUGGAAAGAGAGUUAACAGUACGUGAAAUUGUUGGAAGGGAAACGAUUGAAGUCAGACUUGUUAUCUGGAGUUCAGCCUUUCGGUGUACUCUCCAGUUUACAGGCCAGCAUCAGUUUUCGGGGCGGGAAAAUCGUAAUUUGAAGGUAGCAGCCUAGCUGUGUUAUAGCUUUUUACUGGAUUCCGCUUUGGGGACUGAGGAACGCAGUGUGCUUUUAGCAAUACCCUCGGGUAUUUCACACUUAGGAUGCUGGUGGAAUGGCUUUAAACGACCCGUCUUGAAACACGGACCAAGGAGUCUAACAUGCUUGCGAGUAUUUGGGUGUCAAACCCGGAUGCGCAAUGAAAGUGAAUGAAGGUGGGAUCCGCAAGGUGCACCAUCGACCGAUCUGGAUUUUUUAAGAUGGAUUUGAGUAAGAGCAAUUAUGUUGGGACCCGAAAGAUGGUGAACUAUGCCUGAAUAGGGCGAAGCCAGAGGAAACUCUGGUGGAGGCUCGUAGCGGUUCUGACGUGCAAAUCGAUCGUCAAAUUUGGGUAUAGGGGCGAAAGACUAAUCGAACCAUCUAGUAGCUGGUUCCUGCCGA